CCAACUACUUUAGGGGGAUUACCUGUUAAGUAUAAAGAUACUUAACAGGUAAUCCCCCUAAAGUAGUUGGA
rnacentral:miRNA from 1 species